UACAGAGGAGCCAAGCGUUGUCCGGAUUGACUGGGCGUAAAGCGCACGCAGGCGGUUGCGCGCGUGGGGUGUGAAAUCUGGCCGCUUAACGGCCAGGCGCCAUCCCAUACGGCGCGACUGGAGUGAUGCAGAGGUCGAUGGAAUUGCCGGUGUAGUGGUGAAAUGCGUAGAGAUCGGGCAGGAACACCCCAGGGGGGAAACCAGUCGACUGGGCAUCUACUGACGCUGAGGUGCGAGAGCGUGGGGAGCGAACCGG
rnacentral:rRNA from 1 species